AUGACGCACGUCCUAGUUCAUCUAGUCGACGAGAUUGUCAUUCUGGGGCCCAUAUUUCUACACAAUAUGUUCCCCUUUGAGAGGUUCAUGGGAGUCCUAAAGAAAUAUGUCCGUAACCGCACUAGGCCAGAAGGAAGCAUCUCCAUGGGCCAUCAAACAGAGGAUGUCAUUGGGUUUUGUGUUGACUUCAUUCCUGGCCUUGAGAAGAUAGGUCUCCCUAAAUCGCGGUAUGAGGGGAGACCGACUGGAAAAGGCACGCUUGGAGGGGGGAACUCAACGGAUAUUCUUGGUCUGAAGCACACUACACAGUUCUACAGAACUCUACCUUGGUGA
rnacentral:rRNA from 1 species